rnacentral:tRNA from 216 species
GCAGCGGUAGUUCAGUUGGUUAGAAUACCGGCCUGUCACGCCGGGGGUCGCGGGUUCGAGUCCCGUCCGCUGCGCCA